rnacentral:rRNA from 1 species
UACGGGGGGGGCAAGCGUUGUUCGGAAUUACUGGGCGUAAAGGGCUCGUAGGUGGCCAACUAAGUCAGACGUGAAAUCCCUCGGCUUAACCGGGGAACUGCGUCUGAUACUGGAUGGCUAGAGUUUGGGAGAGGGAUGCGGAAUUCCAGGUGUAGCGGUGAAAUGCGUAGAUAUCUGGAGGAACACCGGUGGCGAAGGCGGCAUCCUGGACCAACACUGACGCUGAGGAGCGAAAGCCAGGGGAGCGAACGGG